UGGGGAAUAUUGCACAAUGGGCGCAAGCCUGAUGCAGCGACGCCGCGUGGGGGAUGACGGCCUUCGGGUUGUAAACUCCUUUCGCUAGGGACGAAGCUUUUUGUGACGGUACCUAGAUAAGAAGCACCGGCUAACUACGUGCCAGCAGCCGCGGUAAUACGUAGGGUGCGAGCGUUGUCCGGAAUUACUGGGCGUAAAGGGCUCGUAGGUGGUUUGUCGCGUCGUCUGUGAAAUUCCGGGGCUUAACUCCGGGCGUGCAGGCGAUACGGGCAUAACUUGAGUACUGUAGGGGUACUGGAAUUCCUGGUGUAGCGGUGAAAUGCGCAGAUAUCAGGAGGAACACCGAUGGCGAAGGCAGGUUACUGGGCAGUUACUGACGCUGAGGAGCGAAAGCAUGGGUAGCGAACAGG
rnacentral:rRNA from 1 species